rnacentral:rRNA from 1 species
GACGAACCGUGCGAACGUUGUUCGGAUUCACUGGGCUUAAAGGGCGCGUAGGCGGGCGAGCGAGUCCGGGGUGAAAUCUUUCGGCUUAACCGGAAAAGGGCCUCGGAUACCGGUCGUCUCGAGGGAGGUAGGGGCAGCUGGAACUUCCGGUGGAGCGGUGAAAUGCGUAGAUAUCAGGAGGAACACCUGUGGUGUAGACAGCUUACUGGACCAUUUCUGACGCUGAGACACGAAAGCGUGGUAGCAAACAGG